GCGGUAACACCAGCCCCUCGAGUGGUGGGGACGUUUAUUGGGCCUAAAGCGUUCGUAGCCGGCUUGGUAAAUCCUUCGUUAAAUCUAGCGUCCUAAGCGCUGGGCUGCGAGGGAGACUGCCAAGCUAGAGGGUGGGAGAGGUCAGCGGUAUUCUUGGGGUAGGGGCGAAAUCCUUUGAUCCCAG
rnacentral:rRNA from 1 species